UAAUAAGCCAGGACAAUCAAUAGCUGCAAUCAGAACCAUCAGAAUAAAACAAAAUGUCUUUCACAACUUAAUUAAAACACAAUAUAUGACAUUAUCUAUUUAAGAUUCAAUAACAAGGAUGACCAACACAAGAAUGCAUUUUAGUGGCAGCAGUUCCUCUCGCAUUCUCAGAAGGUGAACCAAACCAACACCCACUUUUAUUAAUAUUUAAAAUAAAGCACUAUCAGGUUGACCAACUUUAGUCAAUUUAGAUCUUAGAUGAAUUUAACUAGGUUUUAAAAUAAUCACAAGGAAGAGUAAAGAAUAUGUAAUAUUAAACUACGUUAGCUAACAAUACAACAACAAAACUAAUCUUUAAUCCCAAACUAGUUAAGGUUUGCUAUAUGAAUCUUUUUCGCCAUUCAGCAUGAGUAAUUGUAAUCGCUACCAAGAUUCUAGAGAAAAAGAAAAAAUGUGGAAUGCCUUGGGAAGUAUUUCCAGAGAAGGACAAGGGUGACAUUUUAUGGCAAAGUUACGAGAUUAACUUCUCACAACAGAACUUCACCAGGUGCAAACUUCUAGCACAAAAUCUUGGGGAUAUUACGACAAACUAUUUUCUAGACCAUAAAUAUGGCAUUCAAGAUGCCUUACAAAAAUUGGAAAGAAUUCAAUGAAAAACUUGAACCAAACAACUUGAGGAUUCAAAGAAGUUAGAUCACAUAUUAUGAGAAUCCAUGCCAAUGCUGAGUCUUUUAUGGCUUUUGAGAGUCUACAAGUAUGGAGGUUACAGUA
rnacentral:misc_RNA from 1 species